UGAGCCGCGUGAUGCUGUAUAUUUACGAGGUAUUAUGUACCGUUGCAGAUGGUCGUUUUCGUAUAAAUUUCGAUUGUACAUUGUAAUAUUUUGAAAUUGUUACGUUCAUUAUCGUAGGAAAACGAAAAAGAAAACAGUUUUAUGCGAUUAAUACGAUUAUUGUAAUAUAUUGCAAUACUGAAGAAACUCGCCCAUCGAAAAUAAUUUAUAUUGUUGGUAUUUGAAAGCAAAAUAUUGCGAAAGAUUUUUGAACUAAAAGGACGACAUGAGUCCUCACGGAGAGUGGAGACGAAAGAAGAACAGAGAGCUAUUAUUAAAACAUCUGGGAAAAACAAUAUUUUUGAGACCGCUAAAAAAAGAAAGUCUGCAAUGGGCUUGACGAGUAUAAUUCAUAGAAGUCAACUACAAACAGUGCUCGAACUGAACUUACCAAAUAGGGAAAAGACCUGUGGGAAACGUAGUAAAAAAAUAAUACCUAUUGAAGCUUUAUAGGAAAAUGACCAAAAUGGAAGAUUUUGGCAAUUGAUAGCUGGAAGGUCGGUUGUGAGUUUGCGACUGUUGCGAAACGGGAUGGUUCCCAAAAUAAAUAAAUAAAUUAUAGAUAUAAGUAUUAUUUUUUUUUCAGAGAGGGGAUAAAUUAGUGCAAUGACAUAUAAUUCAAUUCGCAUACAAUAACAAAUAUAUAUUGUUGUUUUU